rnacentral:rRNA from 1 species
AGAGUUUGAUCAUGGCUCAGAAUGAACGCUGGCGGCGUGCUUUACACAUGCAAGUCGAGCGAGGCGGGGAGCAAUCUCCAGUCGAGCGGCGAACGGGUGAGUAACGCGUGGAUGACCUGCCCUUCAGCGGGGAAUAACCCGGGGAAACUCGGGCUAAUACCGCAUACGACCGAGAGGUGAAAGCGGGGUCGCAAGAUCUCGUACUGAAGGAGGGGUCCGCGUCCGAUUAGCUAGUUGGUAGGGUAAUGGCCUACCAAGGCGACGAUCGGUAGCCGGCCUGAGAGGGUGAUCGGCCACACUGGAACUGAGACACGGUCCAGACUCCUACGGGAGGCAGCAGUGGGGAAUUUUGCGCAAUGGGCGAAAGCCUGACGCAGCAACGCCGCGUGGAGGAUGAAGGUCUUUGGAUUGUAAACUCCUGUCAGCAGGGAAAAAGGGACUGGACCUCAUACGUCUGGAACUUGAUUGUACCUGCAGAGGAAGCCCCGGCUAACUCUGUGCCAGCAGCCGCGGUAAUACAGAGGGGGCAAGCGUUAUUCGGAAUUAUUGGGCGUAAAGGGCGCGUAGGCGGCUUUGCAAGUGACGGGUGAAAGCCCUCGGCUUAACCGAGGAACUGCCUGUCAGACUGUGAGGCUUGAGACCAGGAGAGGUGAGUGGAAUUCCCAGUGUAGCGGUGAAAUGCGUAGAUAUUGGGAGGAACACCAGUGGCGAAGGCGGCUCACUGGACUGGUACUGACGCUGAGGCGCGAAAGCGUGGGGAGCAAACAGGAUUAGAUACCCUGGUAGUCCACGCCGUAAACGAUGAGUGCUUGGUGUAGCGGGUAUCGACCCCUGCUGUGCCGAAGUCAACACAUUAAGCACUCCGCCUGGGGAGUACGGUCGCAAGACUGAAACUCAAAGGAAUUGACGG